rnacentral:lncRNA from 1 species
AUUUUCCAGGGAAUGGACCAUCAUUCAAUGCAUAUUGAUUUAUAAUCUGUGUUGGAUCGCGAACCUUCUCUUCUCUCAGGUCCAGAGGGGAACUCCUAGUUAAGUCCCUCAGCGACUUGGAUUGAUGCCUAUCGGUAAGAGGAAACUCGGGAUUCGUGCCAUGUAUGUGGCACACAACUGGUUUUAUCGAUGUGAAUCAACAAAUCACAGGAAAAUUUGGUCACAUAGAUCUUCUUUCCUACAGUAGCAGAUUCGGCUAGUGAUCAGUACCCUCUCUUUAUUCCCAUAGAAAGACUCUUAAACAAACUCUCGGAUUGGCUGAGCUUUCAAAGAUUGAAGAGGACAAGAAAGGGAUCGAACUCAUGUAACUAAGAGGAACUCCUAGUUAAGUCCCUUAGCGACUUGGAUUGAUGCCUAUCGGUAAGAUGAAACUUGGGAUCCGUGCCAUGUAUGUGGCACACAACUGGUUUUAUCGAUGUGAAUCAACAAAUCACAGGAAAAUUUGGUCACAUAGAUCUUCUUUCCUACAGUAGCAGAUUCGGCUAGUGAUCAGUACCCUCUCUUUAUUCCCAUAGAAAGACUCUUAAACAAACUCUCGGAUUGGCUGAGCUUUCAAAGAUUGAAGAGGACAAGAAAGGGAUCGAACUCAUGUAACUAAGAAAAUAAAUCCUUAGCUUUAGUGCAGUGACCCAAUGAAAACGAGGAGAAGAAGGCCAAGGGUAAGAAUAACCCUACAGGCUAAGAUCUCUCCUGGGCUUUCCUCACAAUAAUUCUGUUGUUGGGAUAGGUGAAUCAAUGGGCUCAUUUCCUUUUUACGGGAUGAAGAGAUGACAUAGCGUGUGUGCCACAAGAACGUAGUCUCAUUGAAGUUCAGUUCGAUAAGCAGGUCUUUUUCGUAGGCUAGAAGGUAAGUAAGCAGGGUUAGAGAAUCCGAUAGCAUAAGAUAGACUCCUCAGAUUAUCAUUAUCUAAGGUUGUAGCCGUAAAUCAUG